rnacentral:rRNA from 1 species
UACGUAGGUAGCAAGCGUUGUCCGGAUUUACUGGGCGUAAAGAGCGCGCAGGCGGUCAGAUAAGUCGAAUGUGAAAGCCCCCGGCUCAACUGGGGAGGGUCAUUCGAUACUGUUCGACUCGAAGGCAGGAGAGGGAAGUGGAAUUCCCGGUGUAGUGGUGAAAUGCGUAGAUAUCGGGAGGAACACCAGUGGCGAAGGCGACUUCCUGGCCUGUUCUUGACGCUGAGGCGCGAAAGCUAGGGGAGCAAACGGGG